CCUACGGGAGGCAGCAGUGGGGAAUAUUGGACAAUGGGCGAAAGCCUGAUCCAGCCAUGCCGCGUGUGUGAAGAAGGCCUUCGGGUUGUAAAGCACUUUCAGUGGGGAAGAAAGCCUAGGGGCUAAUACCCUCGAGGAAGGACAUCACCCACAGAAGAAGCACCGGCUAACUCCGUGCCAGCAGCCGCGGUAAUACGGAGGGUGCGAGCGUUAAUCGGAAUUACUGGGCGUAAAGCGCGCGUAGGCGGUCUGAUAAGCCGGUUGUGAAAGCCCCGGGCUCAACCUGGGAACGGCAUCCGGAACUGUCAGGCUAGAGUGCAGGAGAGGAAGGUAGAAUUCCCGGUGUAGCGGUGAAAUGCGUAGAGAUCGGGAGGAAUACCAGUGGCGAAGGCGGCCUUCUGGACUGACACUGACGCUGAGGUGCGAAAGCGUGGGUAGCAAACAGGAUUAGAUACCCGAGUAGUC
rnacentral:rRNA from 1 species